AGAGAUAAAACGGUCUGUCUCGGCCCUCGAGAAUUCUAAAGGAGGACAACUUCUAAUUCACUUAGAAGGCCUGAGUCCAGAAGAUCCGAGUCAGGGAAAUUUUGACGAGUUCAUAGAUGAUGACCUUCAAACCAUCAUAAAUUCUGAUGAAACAUUUGAUGAUGUUUACUACAAAAAGACACUCCAGGGGGAUCCGGAAUUUGUGGUUAUUGAUAUUGAGCCUUCAUCUACAAUAAUCAUAACAGAUCCCAAGACUAAAUUUAUCAUGGACAAAGGGUUUACACCAGAUAGUGCACAAGCACUGCGGUUCUUCCUGAAACACAUCUCUGAUGCGCCAAAUUCAAAUCAUUCAGAGGUCAAGCAUAGACAGCCUUUCUUAAAUGACAGGACAUUACAAACCAUAACUGAAAAAAAGAGAUAUUCAGGUGAAAGGAUUUGUUUUCACAACGCAAGAAUAGAAGAAGAAGGAGGCAAUUUUAGGAGACACAAAACAAUUUGUUGACCACUUGUGGGAUCUGCGUCUUCCUCUCUAUGUAACUGCACUGGCAAAACUAAAGGAAGGUGGGUCAUUUAUUCUUGGCAUAGGAGAAAAAGAAAAGAAAUUUCAAACCAAGAUCAAAGGAAAUCCAGUCCAAUAUUUGUCUAAAACAUUUGAAGAUCUUGGAAUUGAAUUGCCCACGGACAAAUAUCCUCAAAUAAAACAAUUAAUAGAGCAACGUUUGAAAGGUGGUAUGUGCCACAUUGACAACAAGGGAGACAUUUAAGAUUGGAAUGACAAACACAUCACUGCUCACUUUCAUAAAAUCACUGGAAAGGACCAUACAUUGCUUGAGGUUGUAGUAAAUCCAAUCACAGGUGUAUUGUUUUAUGAUAACAAGGGACCAGAGGCAUACAAGGUGGAACAUAGAGAACCAUUUCUGCAGUAUACCCGGUGUGAGCUCAAGGACAUGAUAACAUCAGUUACAAAACAUUAGAAAGGGACCAGAGGCAUACAAGGUGGAACAUAGAGAACCAUUUCUGCCGUCUACCCGGUGUGAGCUCAAGGACAUAAUAACAUCAGUUACAAAACAUUAGGAAGAUGUCCAUAUGCUCCCAGUGGGUGCAGUAAGAAGAUGGAACAAAGAAAUGCAAAUCCUUCUUGGUAGCUCAAGGAUUGGAUUGAUAUACAUCGCAAAAUCUCUUGCAGAGACAUUAGAUUUGCAACUGAAAGACACAAGCAUUGACGGAGUUGUAUUUGAUGCAUGCGUUAUCGUAUGUGAUCAUCCAGUUCAAAUUCU